GAUGAACGCUAGCUACAGGCUUAACACAUGCAAGUCGAGGGGUAGCAGGGUAGCAAUACCGCUGACGACCGGCGCACGGGUGAGUAACACGUAUCCAACCUUCCCAUAACUCUGGGAUAGCCUUUCGAAAGAAAGAUUAAUACCGGAUGGUACUUUUUCAAGGCAUCUUGAGAAAGUUAAAGAUUUAUUGGUUAUGGAUGGGGAUGCGUUCCAUUAGAUAGUUGGUGAGGUAACGGCUCACCAAGUCUUCGAUGGAUGGGGGUUCUGAGAGGAAGGGCCCCCACAUUGGUACUGAGACACGGACCAAACUCCUACGGGAGGCAGCAGUGAGGAAUAUUGGUCAAUGGGCGAGAGCCUGAACCAGCCAAGUAGCGUGAAGGAUGAAGGUCCUAUGGAUUGUAAACUUCUUUUAUAGUAGAAUAAAGUGACCCACGUGUGGGUUUUUGUAUGUAUACUAUGAAUAAGGAUCGGCUAACUCCGUGCCAGCCGCCGCCGUAACAC
rnacentral:rRNA from 1 species